AAUGGGUUCCAUGGAUCCUAGGUCAAUUCAACAGUCAGCAACCACACAGGAGAGAGGGCCUCCAGACUGAAACCUACCAACUGUGGGAAUGUGAGGCUGAAGUCAAGUAAAAUCAGAACGUGAAGAGGUGGGUCGCAAUAGCCAGGGGGUGAGCUGUGCAGUGGAGUGGACCUGCAGGAGCCCAAGCCUCGAGGGGAGGAUGAAGGCUUUCGGGAUGAGGCAUUGUCUACGCUGCAUCUUCAAUGUAUCAGAAGGUGUUAACAAGGCGAAGAGGGUUGUAGGCAAAGGGAAGAAUGCCUGCAAAAACCCAGAUUCCUGAAAUGCCACUCAAUGAUCAGUUUGACCUCACCAGCUCAUGUGUGGAGAGGCGAGUGAUGCAUCUGGGAUGCCAAGAGUCACAUCGCAUCUAAGCCCCAUUGGGGAACUUAUGCAUUCUUGGCUUACACCUGGCAGGGCUGAUAAGACUCAAAGCGGAUAAUUGUGUGUUGCUAUGGACUGAAUGUUUCCGUCCUCCACCCCCUAAAAUAUGCUGAUGCCCUAACCCCAUUGUGACGCACCUAGCAAGAAGGUGGCCAUCUACAACGAGAGCCCUCAUCAAACACUGGGUCUACCAGCAGCUUGAUCUUGGAUUUCCCAGCCUCCAAAACUAUGUCCAUCUUCCCCUUCUCUUUGGCUAAGUGCACCUGAGGCUAUGGAAUACUCACCAAAGACCCUUGGGCAACCAACUGAAGGGCAUUCACUACAAAUUCUGAAGCCCUCCUGACACUGAUCUUCCUGAGAAUGAGUCUAAAGUCAAAGCCCUUGGCCCACAUCCAUUGCCCCCAUCCUCUCACAAUGACAUUCUCCCACCUUAAAAAUUGAGAAUUGCAUACCCCAAGGUGUCAAAUCCUCCAGAACACCAAGUAAGGGGCAAUCCAGAAUUCUGGUGGCAGAAAUCCUGCUUUGAUCAAGACACCAAAAGUCUUUGAAUCCACCCAAAACAAGGGCUUUGAGAUAAAAGUUAACCUUUGUAUCUAAUAACUAUUGAUCAACAUUUAAAAUGUCCAUUAAUUUGACCAGUUGUGUACUAAUACUAACUGUAUGUAUAACUCAAUUCAAAAGAAAAAUUUUUUAAACAUUUAUGGUCACC
rnacentral:lncRNA from 1 species